UACGUAGGGUGCAAGCGUUGUCCGGAAUUAUUGGGCGCAAAGAGCUUGUAGGCGGUUUGUCGCGUCUGCUGUGAAAUUUCGGGGCUCAACCCCGAACUUGCAGUGGGUACGGGCAGACUAGAGUGUGGUAGGGGAGACUGGAAUUCCUGGUGUAGCGGUGAAAUGCGCAGAUAUCAGGAGGAACACCAAUUGCGAAGGCAGCUCGCUGGAACGUAACUGACGCUGAGACGCGAAAGCGUGGGGAGCAAACAGG
rnacentral:rRNA from 1 species